rnacentral:rRNA from 1 species
AGAGUUUGAUCCUGGCUCAGGAUGAACGCUGGCGGCGUGCUUAACACAUGCAAGUCGAACGAACCUUCGGGUUAGUGGCGGACGGGUGAGUAACGCGUGAGAAUCUGCCCUCAGGAGGGGGAUAACGGUUGGAAACGACCGCUAAUACCCCAUAUGCCGAUAGGUGAAAUGAAUUUCGCCUGAGGAUGAGCUCGCGUCUGAUUAGCUAGUUGGUGAGGUAAUGGCUCACCAAGGCUUCGAUCAGUAGCUGGUCUGAGAGGAUGAUCAGCCACACUGGGACUGAGACACGGCCCAGACUCCUACGGGAGGCAGCAGUGGGGAAUUUUCCGCAAUGGGCGAAAGCCUGACGGAGCAACGCCGCGUGAGGGACGAAGGCCUCUGGGCUGUAAACCUCUUUUCUCAAGGAAGAAGAUAUGACGGUACUUGAGGAAUAAGCCACGGCUAAUUCCGUGCCAGCAGCCGCGGUAAUACGGGAGUGGCAAGCGUUAUCCGGAAUUAUUGGGCGUAAAGCGUCCGCAGGCGGCUUUUCAAGUCUGCUGUUAAAGCGUGGAGCUUAACUCCAUUAUGGCAGUGGAAACUGAUUGGCUUGAGUAUGGUAGGGGCAGAGGGAAUUCCCG